rnacentral:rRNA from 1 species
AGUGAGCGCUGGCGGUAGGCCUAACACAUGCGAGUCGAACGGCAGCACAGUAAGAGCUUGCUCUUACGGGUGGCGAGUGGCGGACGGGUGAGGAAUACAUCGGAAUCUACUUUUUCGUGGGGGAUAACGUAGGGAAACUUACGCUAAUACCGCAUACGACCUACGGGUGAAAGCAGGGGAUCUUCGGACCUUGCGCGAUUGAAUGAGCCGAUGUCGGAUUAGCUAGUUGGCGGGGUAAAGGCCCACCAAGGCGACGAUCCGUAGCUGGUCUGAGAGGAUGAUCAGCCACACUGGAACUGAGACACGGUCCAGACUCCUACGGGAGGCAGCAGUGGGGAAUAUUGGAUAAUGGGCGCAAGCCUGAUCCAGCCAUACCGCGUGGGUGAAGAAGGCCUUCGGGUUGUAAAGCCCUUUUGUUGGGAAAGAAAAGCAGCAGGUUAAUACCCCGCUGUUCUGACGGUACCCAAAGAAUAAGCACCGGCUAACUUCGUG